rnacentral:lncRNA from 1 species
GUACAAGCUUGGAGUAGACACCGACAGGUCGGGCUUCCUCCACUCCACACCUCCACUCUAUCUCUCUCAAUCUAGUAGAAACUAGAAGAUCUAUUUCUACCUUACAUUGAUUGCUAAGCCUAAAAAGAAAUAUUAAUUAGAGAAGAGGUUUUCCUUCGAGGGCACCCCUCAGUCUCUAUGAUAAUUUCUUCAUGUCUUCUCCAGGGGCCAGGGGGCCUUUCUUAUAUAGUCCUCCCCUUCUAUGCGUUUUUGGGUCGAUAGGCGAGGUGGUACUAUGUUUUUCCUUGAUCCAAUAGGUCGGUGGAAUAUCCCGAGCGAAGAGAGUCCUGAUCUGGCUCCAGAGGGGGGCGGGCGCCCAGGCUACCAGGGCGGGCGCCCUGGGCCUGGCCCAGUUUUGCCUCCGCUUCGGUCUCGUGGCUUCUGGAGUCUUCUAGAUGAUGUAAAAUUGCGCGGUGCGUUGAUAUCUCUAUGUAAUCCCGACAUGUGGGCCUUUCUUCCUUAUUUCCUGAUAACCCCCUGCAGAAACAGAUAAACAACAAAACUCGUGGAAUUCUGUCAGAUCAAACCCUAAUUCUAGGUGAUGGUUGCAUAUUGGUCCUUUCUCUUGUUUAUUUGAUAAUUAAAAUUGAUACUUAAGAACCAUCAACAAAUACCCCCAUACUUAGGCUUUUACUCGUCCUCGAGAAAAGGAUGGUUAAGAAAAAUAUCUGGGGUAAACAUUUAAAAACAUUCUUUAUAUAAUUGCAGGGUGUUAAAAAUUCACUGUGUACCAUAGUCAGGGAUGUAUAUGGUUAAGAGUAAAGAUCCUUUCUUCUCAAUCCUGCCACUUGGAGCUUUUGUAUAUUUUUGAAAGAAAGUUAGCAUACCUUUUUAUCCUCAUAGGUUCUCUCAGAUCACUCAUUAUCUUUUAUAUAUAUCUCACUGAGGCUGUUUUAUUUUGCAAAAAUUCUCAAGCAUACUUACUUUGCAUUUAUUGCCUGAUCAAAACGGGAUCCGAGGAGGGGAAUGUCAUAUUCUUAGAUCAAAGACUUUGGAAAUUAAAAACUUUGUCAACUCUUGCUGGCAUAUUGCUUAUUAGAGGGACCAUGGGCUAUCAUUUUUUUUUAAGUGGAUACCGAGGUACCCCUAAUUCUACUGCCGGACACUUGUCCAUUUUUCUGCGAGGUUGUCGAGCACUUGCUCCUUUUUAUUUCCUCGAAAUAUUUCUAUUUUUGCAUAGCCCAUGCCUCUAAUGCAAUAAUACUUCGGAAGAGUGAAUCUUACUGAAAUAAUGUCUUGAUCUUAGGAGCAUGAUAAAUCUCUCAACAAGGGUCUAACUCAUUUUGAACAAACUCAAUACAGAGCAGAUAGCUUUUAUAAUCAUAAUUAAUAUUUUCAGUUUUAUCAGGCAUAUGAAACACUGAGGAUGGUAGCUAGAAAUUUGAAUAUUUUGAAAUAAAUUCUCCAAGCAACAAUGAUAUCAAGAAUAAGAAACUCAUACUCUAUCAUCACAUAUUCCAAUUGACUUAAGUAACACAGGGUUUUAAAAUGAUUUUAUAAUAAUUGCAAGUUUUUAGGAAAUAUCACAGAUUGAGAUUAAUCAUGAUUAGAAAUAUUUUAAUCCUUUUAUUUUAUCAUGUCGGAAACAGUAAUCUGCAUAAUCCAGAAUAAAUGUAUGUGUAAAGUAAAGUGUGCAAAGUGUGUACCUGAAUUGAGGAGUGGUGUAGUCGGAGUGUGUUUAGCAUGUCGAGGGAUCUCCCCCAUACUUGUUUUCUGCUUUCUUGCACAAAAAUAAAGUAGAGACACACAAGACAUAAUAAUAAUAAUAAUAAUACUCUUUAUUAAACUCGAGGCAUUUAUUACAAAAGACUGAUGGCAAACUGAUGAUAAUAGCAAACUGAUGAUAAUUGCAAACCUAAACCGAAUUUAAAGAUAAAUAACUAAGAUGCAUUGCCUCAAAGUCUAAUCUAGAUAACUUAACGGCGCUCUAAUUCCUUGAUCUUCUUGUUGGCACUGGCAAGAUCCUGCCUAAGGCCUAGUAUAACGGUGUUGUGGUUAGAGAGCUGCCUAGUGAGGGAAUUAAUCGAGGACUGGAGGUCUAUGAUAACUCUAUCUAGCCUGCGAACUUCCUCAUCAAUAUCCAUUAUAGUCUUGCGACGCUUGGGAGGUGUCUCAAAAGCAUUGAGAGAGUGCUUCGGGGCUGCCUUUGGAGGGACGAAACGGACUUUGGUUGCUCUAAUCCCUUCAAAGUAAGGCCUUUCCUCCUCUAUGGUGUAGCGAAUACUGCUGAUCUCGCCGCUCCGGUUGGUCUUGACUCCAACGACCCUCUCAUUGGGUCUAGGUGGAAGGAUCCUUGUGUCGGUUGGCACCUUGAUGGUGGUCUUCGUCUUGGAUGAUGAUCCUGUGAGGAGUAGGGGUUGUGGUGGUGCGGUGAGAACUGGUUGAGCAUGGUAAGAUUGGGCGGAGCUACGUUGGCGUAAUGGCAUGGCUUCUAGCUGACGCUCUGUGUUGGCCGGGACGAGAGCACGGGCAUCGGGGUCUUCCACAGGCUCUAUGUUGAGGUUGAAGGGGACGACUUCCCAAUCAUCGUGGUACUUCUCGGCCAUUGGAAUAGCAAGGAACUAAUAAAAUUUUAAUUGAAGGAGAGCUAAUCAAGCUCUAAUUGAAGGAGAGAAAGCUCGGUGGCUUGGUGUUUGAAAACUGAGGUCAGGGGUCUGUUUAUAUAGGGGUCAAAAGGGUGCCUCUAUGGGUUGUUCGGGUUACUCCCAUCGAUGUGCGUGCAAAACUUUCCAUCUGAGGGAUUAUUCGGAUCACCCUAAGUGCAUUUUCCAUAACAGAGAAAGUCAGGACCGAGAGGGAACAGGGGCUGGGCGCCCGCCCUCUCUCUGGCCCCUCUGUGGGCCCACUUCUCCGAGCGUGUUUCUAGAUGCGAAAUUAUUUAGAAAAAUAUAUAUAUGACCCAAAACCAUCAGACCAAAAAUAUCGGGCUCUAAUUCUCCAUGGGAAGGUAAAAAUGGACUACGUCUAUUUCUUCAAAUUCCUCAUUGGGCUCUAAAAAUAAUUUAAGACGUUGACCAUUUACCUUGAAUAACGUACCUUCGCUAUUUUGAAGUGUGAUAGCUCCGUGGGAUGAUGAAUUGAUUACCUUGAAUGGUCCUUCCCAUUUGCUCCGGAGUUUUCCAUGCCCGAAAAGCUUCACCCUGGAAUUAAAAAUUAAUACCUUAUCUCCGGGUGUGAACUCCUUCUUCUUGAUUCUCUUGUCAUGCCACCUUUUGACUCUUUCUUUGUAGAUUUUUGAAUUGUGAUAUGCCUUCUCUCGCCAUUCUUCCAAUUCUGAUAGUUGCAUUCUUCUAUAAUCUCCAGCAACAUCCGGGUCCAUAUUCCAUCUCUUUAUGGCCCAAUGUGCUUUGAACUCUAGUUCAACAGGUAGAUGGCAAGUCUUCCCGUACACCAAUUGGUAUGGAGACAUUCCAAUUGGGGUCUUGUAUGCUGUCUGGUAUGCCCAGAGUGCAUCGGGUAACUUGUCUUUCCACGCCGUUCCCAUUUCAUUUACUGUCUUCUGAAGAAUAUUCUUGAUUUGUUUGUUGGAAGUCUCUGCUUGGCCACUUGUCUGAGGAUGAUAAGGGGUAGCGACGUUGUGACGGAUUCCAUGUCUUGAUAGAUAUUGCUUGAAGCGUUUGUCGAUGAAGUGUGCUCCUCCAUCACUUAUCACUACUCUGGGGACUCCAAAUCUUGGAAAUAUAAUUUCUUCAAACAUCCUCUUUGAACUGACGUUGUCGGCAUGCUUGCAAGGUAAUGCUUCUACCCACUUGGAGACAUAGUCAACUGCCACCAAGAUGUACUCACACUUCUUUGAUGGAGGAAAUGGACCCAUGUAGUCUAUUCCCCAGACAUCAAAGAGCUCAAUCUGAAGGUUGUUGGUGAGUGGCAUUGCAUCCCUUGUAUUUAUGUUUUCGUGCCUUUGACAUGGCCCACAUCUUCUGAUAUAUUGCUUCGUGUCUUCAUACAUUGUAGGCCAAUAGAAUCCACACUGCCAGAUUUUUGAAUGUGUACGGAAUGCUCCAUAGUGACCUCCAUAUGGUGAUGAAUGACAUCUGUCGAUGAUCUUCCAUCCUUCCUCAGUGGUCACACAUCUCCUGAGUAAGCCGUCAGAGCAUACUCGGAAGAGGUAUGGCUCAUCCCAUAUAUGUGAACGACUUUCUUGAAUAAGCUUCUUCUUGUUUGCUCCUGGUGGUACAUACCCUGAAACCAUAAAAUUAACAAUAUCUGCAUACCAGGGGUCAGACCUGUUAAUCCCGUAGAGCAUGUCGUCCCGGAGUGAAUCAUUGAUGGGGGUUUCCUGUGGACUCUUAAAAUACAUUCUAGACAAGUGAUCAGCAACAGAAUUUUCUACUCCCUUUUUAUCUUUUAUUUCUAAGUCAAAUUCUUGGAGUAAUAAAAUCCAUCUAAUCAAGCGAGGUUUAGCAUCUUUUUUAGUGAGCAAAUAUUUUAGUGCAGCAUGAUCAGUGUAAACAAUUAUUUUAGCUCCGACUAAAUAAGAUCUAAAUUUAUCUAUGGCAAAGACAACAGCCAGAAGCUCUUUUUUCAGUGGUUGCAUAAUUAAGUUGAGCUCCUGUCAGAGUUUUACUGGCAUAAGCAAUUGCAUGAUGCUUCUUAUCUUUAGUUUGUCCCAAUACUGUCCCCACAGCAUAAUCACUAGCAUCACACAUAAUUUCAAAAGGCAACGACCAAUCAGGGGGUUGAAUGAUUGGUGCAGAGAUGAGUGCUUUCUUUAAUAAAUUAAAAGAUGUUAGACAUGCAUCAUCAAAUUCGAAAGGAGCAUCCUUGGCUAGCAAAAGAGUAAGUGGUCUAGCAAUAAAUGAAAAAUCUUUUAUGAAUCUACGAUAAAAACCAGCAUGGCCAAGAAAGCUUCGAAGUCCUUUUAUAUUCACAGGUGGAGGUAGUUGUUCAAUUACUUCAAUUUUGGCUUUGUCUACCUCAAUACCUCUUUCAGACACUAAGUGUCCCAGCACUAUUCCUUCCCUAACCAUAAAAUGACAUUUUUCCCAAUUAAGGAUUAAGUGCUUUUCUUCACAUCUUUGCAAAACCUUGUCUAAGUUUUCAAGACAACUAUCAAAAGUUUUUCCAUAAACAGAGAAAUCAUCCAUGAAAACUUCCAUAAUCUCUUCAAUCAUAUCAGAAAAUAUAGACAUCAUGCAUCUUUGAAAAGAAGCUGGUGCAUUACAUAACCCAAAAGACAUUCUACGGUAAGCAUAAGUUCCAUAAGGGCAUGUAAAAGUGGUUUUGCUUUGAUCAUCGGGAUGGAUCGGGAUUUGGUGAUAUCCUGAGUAUCCAUCUAAGAAACAGAAUAACGAAUGGUUUGCUAACCGCUCUAGCAUCUCAUCUAUAAAAGGUAAAGGAAAGUGAUCCUUUCUCGUGGCUUUAUUUAGUUUUCUAUAGUCUAUGCACAUCCGCCAUCCUGUGACGGUGCGUUGCGGAAUUAGCUCAUUCUUUUCAUUCAUAAUAACUGUCAUGCCUCCCUUUUUGGGCACAACUUGUACUGGGCUCACCCACUCACUGUGCGGCACAGGAUAUAUAAUCCCUGCAUGCAGCAGCUUUAUAACUUUCUUUUUAACUACCUCUCUCAUAGUGUUGUUAAGUCUACGUUGGGGUUCUCGAGAGGGUGUAACAGAAGGAUCUGUUGGAAUACGAUGUGUACAAAUCAUAGGACUGAUUCCUGUAAGAUCUUGAAGUGAAUAGCCAAAAACCGAGUGAUGUUUCUCAAGGAUGGUCAUUAAUCGCAGAGUUUGAUCCUGAGUGAGUUUAUCGCUAAUGAUCACAGGGAACUCUGGAUUAUUGUUUAGGAAAGCAUAGGUAAGACCGGGUGGUAAAGUUUUAAGUUCUAUGGGGGGGUCUAGGUGUUUCUGCAAACUCAUCUAAGGGUUCAGGCUCAGAAGGUUCGUCUUCUUCUUCAGUGAAGAAAGGAGUUUCGUCUUCUAAGUCUGGUUCAUCUAAAAGCUCUAGAGAUGCAGCCUUUACUUCCUCCAUAGGAUCAGGCAAAAGAUAUGACUCGGCCUUAUUGUUUAAGGAGUGUGAAAUUAUUAUUGGGAAUUUAAAGGUUUUUCCAAAAGAAAUGUGUAGCUUUCCAGUAUGACCUUCAUAAAGGAGUCUUCUAAAAGGUUGUCCUAUCAACAGGUCGAAGUCCCAUGUAUCAAAGAUAUAGAAGUUCAAAUGAACCAUGGAGCCUUCUACCGUAAGAGGUAGGAUAUUAAUAAUUCCAAGACUGGGGACUAAUCGUCCCGAAGAUUCCUUUAUGACCUUUGUUGUGGGGGUUAAGAUAAGAUUUUUAAAUAGUUUAAGUGCAAAUGAUUUAGACAUAAUGUUGAUCCCCACAACAGGAUUAUAGAGAGCAUUAAAUCGAUCAGAAUUAUAAGCACAACGUAUAGUUAUAGAGGGUGUGUCCAAACGGAUCACAUCAGAGGAAAGCUCUGAUUCCUCCAACCAUUCGCUACUCAUUACUGAGAUAAGCUCUCUCAAUUGAUAUUCACUUGGCAAAUAAAUGCUAAACUGGCCGUUUUGGGGUUUGUCAAUAGAAUGGUAGUUUGAAAUAUUUCCAAAAUCGGCAAAAAGAUCGGAUUCUAUAUCCAGCAUGAAGUCCGGUGGUGGAAUUUCUUCCUCUUGUGGCUCAGAACUUGGGAUAGCUAAAGUAGAUGAAGAAUUUGGCAAAGUGUCUACUUCGUCUUCGUAGGUUUCAUCAUGAAGGGUAUUAUCCAUCUCAGCUUCUAGGAUUCUAUCUAGGAUCACUCUAGCUUCAUCAGCAGGGAUGCGAAAGAAAGAACCUCUAGACAUUGUGUGAAGCAUUUGUUUGUGAUUUUUAUGAAGACCUCGAAAAAAGUGGAAUAAAAGAACAGGGUCUUCAAGAUUAAGGUUUGGACCAGAUUCUAAAAGAUCAGAAAAACGUUUCCAGGAUUUUCCCAAAGUUUCAUUAUCUUUUUGUUUAAAAGAUAGGACUCCGAGUCUAAGGUCGGCUAUACGAUCAAGGGAAUAGAAAUCUAGACAAAAGUUGGCUCGUAAAACUCCCCAUUCACCUUGUUGUUGACUUACCUUCUGACUGUACCAUUGUCUAGCUUCUCCCCUUAAAGAAAAAGGAAAAAGCUUCCAACGUAAAGUCUUAUCAGAAAUGCCUUCAAUGCGAAGACAAUCACAUGUUUGCUCAAAAUCUCUAAUAUGAAGGUAAGGGUUUUCGUCUUCCUUUCCCGAAAAAGAUAGGUUUUGAAUCAUGGCAAUCAACCUAGAACUUAACUUAUACUGGGAUGUUUGGAUAGGCUGUGAUGAUUCCCAUGGUAAAAGGUCAGUUGCUAAAGGGAUUGCAGACUCAUGGAUCGAUUUAGAAUUUUGGUUUUCCAUAAGGUAAGAAUAAAGAAAAUAAAUAAAGGAUAUAAAACAUAAGAAAAGAUAAAAGUAUAGAUACAAGCUAGUAGCAAGACACAGGUUAUCUCAGCAACCGUCUUUCUCCCCGGCAACGGCGCCAGAAAUGCUUUUUGAUAUUUGGGAACGCAAUAAGGAAUUGAUCCGCAAGCGCACGGAUAUCGGUGAGCACUUCACCCGAGAAAUUAUCCAGAGUAUCGUAUUUAUUUUUUUACCACUAGGAGAAAGAGUGCAUCUAACUAACCGGUCUAUUACUACUAACCUUUAGGCACAAAGAAUGUCUUUCGAUGUGAGUGAUAAAUAGAGAAGACUGCAACCGUAGUCUCCUUCUAACCUUGGUAAGGAUGAUCUACUGUUUCUAAUGGGGAGGCUAACGGAAUCUAGACACCACAAAGGAUGUUCAACCCGCACCUAUAAACCCUAUCCUUCCUACUAACGAGAUGUGAUCUACAAAGGUAGCUCGGAAUUGUCACGUUCCUCACUACUACCACGGUCCAGCUAGUCAGGGAAUAUCUAUGAGUACCCCAGCCUAAACACCACAUUUACGCUAGUAAUGAUUACUCUAAACUCUACGCGAAGAUAUUAAAGUAAACUCAUAAACCAUAAGAACAAUAAAACAAGAACUUACUAGAAUUUAGAAGUCGAAUUACUGAAGAAUCCUAGGAGCAAGCUUCGGGUUAGGAGAACUUGAUCUCGCAGGUACAAGCUUGGAGUAGACACCGACAGGCCGGGCUUCCUCCACUCUACACCUCCACUCUAUCUCUCUCAAUCUAGUAGAAACUAGAAGAUCUAUUUCUACCUUACAUUGAUUGCUAAGCCUAAAAAGAAAUAUUAAUUAGAGAAGAGGUUUUCCUUCGAGGGCACCCCUCAGUCUCUAUGAUAAUUUCUUCAUGUCUUCUCCAGGGGCCAGGGGGCCUUGCUUAUAUAGUCCUCCCCUUCUAUGCGUUUUUGGGUCGAUAGGCGAGGUGGUACUAUGUUUUUCUUGAUCCAAUAGGUCGGUGGAAUAUCCCGAGCGAAGAGAGUCCUGAUCUGGCUCCAGAGGGGGGCGGGCGCCCAGGCUACCAGGGCGGGCGCCCUGGGCCUGGCCCAGUUUCGCCUCCGCUUCGGUCUCGUGGCUUCUGGAGUCUUCUAGAUGAUGUAAAAUUGCGCGGUGCGUUGAUAUCUCUAUGUAAUCCUGACAUGCGGGCCUUUCUUCCUUAUUUCCUGAUAACCCCCUGCAGAAACAGAUAAACAACAAAACUCGUGGAAUUCUGUCAGAUCAAACCCUAAUUCUAGGUGAUGGUUGCAUAUUGGUCCUUUCUCUUGUUUAUUUGAUAAUUAAAAUUGAUACUUAAGAACCGUCAACAAUGAUGGUAAUAACAAUGGAGAAAGUCUAAUUCUACUUUUGCUCUUUUGAGGGGGUACAUACCUUUCUUGCUCUUUUGAAACUUUUUGAGGAGAAUGAGAUGCUCUAUGUUUUCUUUUUCUCUCACGUGGGUAUCUUGUACCCCUAAUUCUACUAUCGGACACUUGUCCAUUUUUACCUCUCGUCUCACUUUUUCUUUCUUUCGAGGUUCCGGGCACUUGCCCCUUUUUAUUUCCUCGCAUUCUUUCUUUUUUUCUUUCUUUUUUAGAGCACUCAUCUCCUGAAAUAAUAUAGCAAGUGGUAGUAACCAAGAUAACUUGAGCAUUUUUUUCACAGGGAAAAACAGAAAUAGGAGAAUGUUUUUGGCUAUUCUCUCCCGGAUUAGGAGUAGAAUAUUUUUGGGUGGUUCUGGAGAUGGAAAUGGAUGGAUAUAUGUGGAUGGUACUUCUGGAGUAGAAGUAGCAUGUGUGAGUGAACGUGCAAGUGAAUCUUGAUUUAACCACAUGACAAGCUCCUAAGGGUCUACACAGCUUGACCACACUCAAUGCUCAUAAGCAGUAAAGUAAAUGUACGGUUCAAAGUCUAGCAAGCAUGUAUAUAUGGCUGUGGUAGGAAUUUAAACUCUCAUCAUACAGGAACUCAUCAUGCAACAUUUUAAAGAUUUUCAAAGAUAAAUUUCUCCAGAUUUCUAGCAUCUCUAGGAACAGAUAAACAACAGCUCAACCUUCCCAUAUCAUAUCCGUUAACGACUUAGACUUUAGAUCAAGUACUCUCCCCACAAGUUCAGGUUUAGAGCAAAUCUUAAUUAAUAUCAGUCAUUCCUAAACUUGAGAGAGAUUUCAAUUUUGAGAACUAGUCAUGGCAGAGCAACUAUUCAUCAUUUCCAUGUGAGAGCUUAUCAUGAGGGUUCAUAGCAAACUUUACUUAUUUAUUUAUUUAGCAAACUAAGCAAAGAUAUAUAUAUAUAUAUAUAAGCACAAAAUCUUUAUUUGGGUUUUUAUGAUUAUGCAUCUUUUUAUUAUUUGAGUAAAGUAUAAACAUGAGUAGAACACUUAGCUGGAUAAAUGGGGGUGAUCUCCCCCAAGCUGGAUUUUGAUGUAAUUUCUUCUGAUGUAACCAGCAGGUGGCGGAGGUGUAUUUGAAUGUCGGCAGUACCCUGACAGCGAUUAGGAUAUCCUUCGUCUGCUAGUCUUCUUUGAUCCUUGAUUUCUGUGGAGCUCAAAUAGACAACAAAGCUUUGUGGAACUAGUUAAGUGUUAGCAUAAAUAUCUAGCCUUUAUCAUGUUGAGCCUCAUCAAUAGAUAUUACUCUCUUUAGUAGGAUCACAAUCUUAUUUUUAUAUUUUUAUGUUUAUAGGACAGGAAUAUAUCUAUUUUAUUUCUAUGCCACCAUAGUGAAUGUACUUAUGGGUUUUAUGCCAUGAGCAUACUCACAUGGGGCUUACUAUUUUUAACAUUUUUAUUUUCUUUUCAAGAUGAUAUGAACCUGAUUAACUAAGCAAACUAUUUUAAAAUAAUUGAAAGGAAAGGGAUAACUACCAAGUUUACCUCUUGGCAAGGCGUUCGGUGUUUUUAAGUCCUCCGAACGGGACUCUCCGUUUCCUCAUUUGUCGUGGGAUUCGCUGGAUGGCGUAGUCGGUGGUUCCGGCAGUGCCUCCUCUUCGUGUAUAACUAUCUUCUUUCUCCACACCUGACUCGGUGCUACGGUCUUCUCAGGACAGUUCUGUUCAAGCUGUAUGUCUUCAGACCUUACAACUUCUCCUUCAUAGUCUGCCCAUCCGUCCUUGAUGAUUUGCCUCCUCUGGUUGCGGUUGCGUCGUCUUCUUCUUGCCCUGGCCUGCUUAGAGUCUUCAACUAUAUAGUUAGGGUCAGUAAAAUAGCGGCGUACCUUCUCAGAGGGGAAGUGCAUGUGGACUUCUUUGGUUCCAAUGUAGAUGAUUGCUUUAACGGUGCUGAGGAACGGUCUCCUAAGGAUGAUGGAUGGAUCGUACUUGUCUUCUCCCAUGUCAAUAACCUUAAAAUCAUCUGGAGCUGAAUGUAUGUUGGUUGUAGGGACAUGGUUCCAUGUAGGAGCUGAUAAGUGACUGCGGCCAUUAUGUUGACGUCAGAUCUUGUGUCGUAGAGUGUCUUCUGAACAGAAUAUCUGUUUAUUUGUGCACUCGAUGCUUGAAACACCAGGGUCAUCCUUUUUGGUUAGAACGGGUGAUUUAAGUCGACAAUCUUGAUCUCCUUGAACUGCAGUGACCAUCUUAGCUGACUCGGUCCACAUUUGCUUGUUCCUGUUCCUCCUAUUGGUCCUCUUCCCUUGGUUCAUGUCAGGAUUGCUCUGAGAUUUGUGUAGUCUUGUUCUUGAAGGAAAACGUCUCUUGCCUCCCCUUGAUAUAGAAACUG